rnacentral:rRNA from 1 species
GUGGGGAAUCUUAGACAAUGGGCGCAAGCCUGAUCUAGCCAUGCCGCGUGAGCGAUGAAGGCCUUAGGGUUGUAAAGCUCUUUCAGCUGGGAAGAUAAUGACGGUACCAGCAGAAGAAGCCCCGGCUAACUCCGUGCCAGCAGCCGCGGUAAUACGGAGGGGGCUAGCGUUGUUCGGAAUUACUGGGCGUAAAGCGCGCGUAGGCGGACCAGAAAGUUGGAGGUGAAAUCCCAGGGCUCAACCUUGGAACUGCCUUCAAAACUCCUGGUCUGGAGUUCGAGAGAGGUGAGUGGAAUUCCGAGUGUAGAGGUGAAAUUCGUAGAUAUUCGGAGGAACACCAGUGGCGAAGGCGGCUCACUGGCUCGAUACUGACGCUGAGGUGCGAAAGCGUGGGGAGCAAACAGGAUUAGAAACCCUGGUAGUCC